rnacentral:rRNA from 1 species
AUGCAGAGCAUGGAUUUGGUGUCGCCGUCCGAGCACCUCUGCUACGUGCGCUGCACGUACUGCAACACCGUGCUCGCGCUGCAGGUUGGGGUUCCAUGCAAGAGGCUGAUGGACACGGUGACUGUGAAAUGCGGCCACUGCAACAACCUCUCCUUUCUCAGCCCACGGCCGCCGCCCAUGGUGCAGCCCCUCUCCCCAAAUGACCACCACCACCCCAUGGGGCCGUUCCAGGGAUGCACUGACUGCAGGAGGAACCAGCCGCUGCCACCGCUGGCCUCGCCGACAUCAAGUGAUGCCAGCCCCAGAGCUCCCUUUGUUGUGAAGCCCCCAGAGAAGAAACAUCGCCUACCAUCUGCCUACAAUCGCUUCAUGAGGGAGGAAAUACAACGUAUCAAAGCUGCAAAGCCAGACAUCCCUCACAGAGAAGCCUUCAGCAUGGCUGCUAAGAACUGGGCGAAGUGCGACCCUCGCUGCUCAUCGACUGUCUCUGCUUCCAACAGCGCCCCAGAGCCCAGAAUAGUAGUGCCCGGUCCUCAGCUGCAGGAGAGGGCCACCGAGCAAGUCGUUGAGAGCUUCGACAUCUUCAAGCAGAUGGAGCGCAGCGCCUAA